CAAAACUUGUUCACCACAGCACUGUUGCUUGUUAUUCUAUUACUCCUGGAGGAAUACUUCAACAUCAAGUCACAGAACACACCUCAUCUAAUCAGUGGCACGACCACACCAAACUGCUUCAUGAGUGUCUUUCACUUGGAGUUCUUGAUCCUUCUGGCUCCACAGGAGACUUGAAAAUGGAGUUUCUAGUUCAGAAGCAGAGAUGCCAGCAAUGCACCACAAGACCUGCUACAAGAGAGGGCAUGCUGUUAAAAUUAUUAACAAAAAUUAUAUAAUCUAUAUUUUACA